UUUUUUGAUAUGAAAUGUUCAUGUCUAUUCUGAUACUGUAUGACAGUAGGAUAGACAUGAACAUUUUGUAUCAAAAAG